UAUACAUGCAGUCGAACGCACAGCGAAAGGUGCUUGCACCUUUCAAGUGAGUGGCGAACGGGUGAGUAACACGUGGACAACCUGCCUCAAGGCUGGGGAUAACAUUUGGAAACAGAUGCUAAUACCGAAUAAAACUUAGUGUCGCAUGACACAAAGUUAAAAGGCGCUUCGGCGUCACCUAGAGAUGGAUCCGCGGUGCAUUAGUUAGUUGGUGGGGUAAAGGCCUACCAAGACAAUGAUGCAUAGCCGAGUUGAGAGACUGAUCGGCCACAUUGGGACUGAGACACGGCCCAAACUCCUACGGGAGGCUGCAGUAGGGAAUCUUCCACAAUGGGCGAAAGCCUGAUGGAGCAACGCCGCGUGUGUGAUGAAGGCUUUCGGGUCGUAAAGCACUGUUGUAUGGGAAGAACAGCUAGAAUAGGAAAUGAUUUUAGUUUGACGGUACCAUACCAGAAAGGGACGGCUAAAUACGUGCCAGCAGCCGCGGUAAUACGUAUGUCCCGAGCGUUAUCCGGAUUUAUUGGGCGUAAAGCGAGCGCAGACGGUUUAUUAAGUCUGAUGUGAAAGCCCGGAGCUCAACUCCGGAAUGGCAUUGGAAACUGGUUAACUUGAGUGCAGUAGAGGUAAGUGGAACUCCAUGUGUAGCGGUGGAAUGCGUAGAUAUAUGGAAGAACACCAGUGGCGAAGGCGGCUUACUGGACUGCAACUGACGUUGAGGCUCGAAAGUGUGGGUAGCAAACAGGAUUAGAUACCCUGGUAGUCCACACCGUAAACGAUGAACACUAGGUGUUAGGAGGUUUCCGCCUCUUAGUGCCGAAGCUAACGCAUUAAGUGUUCCGCCUGGGGAGUACGACCGCAAGGUUGAAACUCAAAGGAAUUGACGGGGACCCGCACAAGCGGUGGAGCAUGUGGUUUAAUUCGAAGCAACGCGAGAACCUUACCAG
rnacentral:rRNA from 1 species